GAGUUUGAUCCUGGCUCAGAACGAACGCUGGCGGCGCGUCUUAAACAUGCAAGUCGAACGGCAAGAGAAAAGCUUGCUUUUCUCCUAGAGUGGCGGACUGGUGAGUAACACGUGGGUGACAUACCUUUUAGCUGGGGAUAGCUGUUAGAAAUAGCAGGUAAUACCGAAUGUGACCGCAUCUGUUAGAGAGGUGCGAGGAAAGGAGCUAAGGCUCCGCUAGAAGAAUGGCUCGCGGCCCAUUAGCUUGUUGGUGAGGUAACGGCCCACCAAGGCAAUGAUGGGUAUCCGGCCUGAGAGGGUGAACGGACACAUUGGGACUGAGAUACGGCCCAGACUUCUACGGGAGGCAGCAGUUAAGAAUAUUCCGCAAUGGACGAAAGUCUGACGGAGCGACGCCGCGUGGAUGAAGAAUGCCGAAAGGUUGUAAAAUCCUUUUAAGCCUGAGGAAUAAGCGGAGGAGGGAAUGCCUCUGCGGUGACUGUAGGGCUGAAUAAGCAACG
rnacentral:rRNA from 1 species